CCACCCCAGGUCUCAUUCAUAGAUAACUCUGGAAAUUCCUCCCUUCUCUUCUGAGGUUCAUCAGGUACAUCAGGUUCAUCAGGUACAUCAGGUUCAUCAGGUACAUCAGGUUCAUCAGGUACAUCAGGUUCAUCAGGUACAUCAGGUUCAACAGGUACAUCAGGUUCAUCAGGUUCAUCAGCUACAUCAGGUUCAUCAGGUUCAUCAGGUUCAUCAGGUUCAUCAGGUUCACCAGGUUCAUCAGGUCCAUCAGGUUCACCAGGUUCAUCAGGUCCAUCAGGUUCAUCAGGUUCAUCAGCUACAUCAGGUUCAUCAGUACAUCAGGUUCAUCAGUACAUCAGGUUCACCAGGUUCACCAGGUUCAUCAGGUUCAUAAAUGUGAUGUCCUGGUGCCUCUUGGGUAAUUCAGACAGCUGAUUGUGGAUCGUAUUACUGAUGAAUGUGAUGUCCUGGUGCCUCUUGGGUAAUUCAGACAGCUGAUUGUGGAUCGUAUUACUGACGAAUGUGAUGUCCUGGUGCCUCUUGGGUAAUUCAG
ensembl:lncRNA